rnacentral:rRNA from 1 species
AGCGUACACGGUGGAUGCCCUGGCAGUCAGAGGCGAUGAAGGACGUGCUAAUCUGCGAUAAGCGUCGGUGAGGUGAUAUGAACCGUUAUAACCGGCGAUUUCCGAAUGGGGAAACCCAGUGUGUUUCGACACACUAUCAUUAACUGAAUCCAUAGGUUAAUGAGGCGAACCGGGGGAACUGAAACAUCUAAGUACCCCGAGGAAAAGAAAUCAACCGAGAUUCCCCCAGUAGCGGCGAGCGAACGGGGAGCAGCCCAGAGCCUGAAUCAGUGUGUGUGUUAGUGGAAGCGUCUGGAAAGGCGCGCGAUACAGGGUGACAGCCCCGUACACAAAAAUGCACAUGCUGUGAGCUCGAUGAGUAGGGCGGGACACGUGGUAUCCUGUCUGAAUAUGGGGGGACCAUCCUCCAAGGCUAAAUACUCCUGACUGACCGAUAGUGAACCAGUACCGUGAGGGAAAGGCGAAAAGAACCCCGGCGAGGGGAGUGAAAAAGAACCUGAAACCGUGUACGUACAAGCAGUGGGAGCCUCUUUAUGGGGUGACUGCGUACCUUUUGUAUAAUGGGUCAGCGACUUAUAUUCUGUAGCAAGGUUAACCGAAUAGGGGAGCCGAAGGGAAACCGAGUCUUAACUGGGCGUUAAGUUGCAGGGUAUAGACCCGAAACCCGGUGAUCUAGCCAUGGGCAGGUUGAAGGUUGGGUAACACUAACUGGAGGACCGAACCGACUAAUGUUGAAAAAUUAGCGGAUGACUUGUGGCUGGGGGUGAAAGGCCAAUCAAACCGGGAGAUAGCUGGUUCUCCCCGAAAGCUAUUUAGGUAGCGCCUCGUGAAUUCAUCUCCGGGGGUAGAGCACUGUUUCGGCAAGGGGGUCAUCCCGACUUACCAACCCGAUGCAAACUGCGAAUACCGGAGAAUGUUAUCACGGGAGACACACGGCGGGUGCUAACGUCCGUCGUGAAGAGGGAAACAACCCAGACCGCCAGCUAAGGUCCCAAAGUCAUGGUUAAGUGGGAAACGAUGUGGGAAGGCCCAGACAGCCAGGAUGUUGGCUUAGAAGCAGCCAUCAUUUAAAGAAAGCGUAAUAGCUCACUGGUCGAGUCGGCCUGCGCGGAAGAUGUAACGGGGCUAAACCAUGCACCGAAGCUGCGGCAGCGACGCUUAUGCGUUGUUGGGUAGGGGAGCGUUCUGUAAGCCUGCGAAGGUGUGCUGUGAGGUAUGCUGGAGGUAUCAGAAGUGCGAAUGCUGACAUAAGUAACGAUAAAGCGGGUGAAAAGCCCGCUCGCCGGAAGACCAAGGGUUCCUGUCCAACGUUAAUCGGGGCAGGGUGAGUCGACCCCUAAGGCGAGGCCGAAAGGCGUAGUCGAUGGGAAACAGGUUAAUAUUCCUGUACUUGGUGUUACUGCGAAGGGGGGACGGAGAAGGCUAUGUUGGCCGGGCGACGGUUGUCCCGGUUUAAGCGUGUAGGCUGAUUUUCCAGGCAAAUCCGGAAAAUCAAGGCUGAGGCGUGAUGACGAGGCACUACGGUGCUGAAGCAACAAAUGCCCUGCUUCCAGGAAAAGCCUCUAAGCAUCAGGUAACAUCAAAUCGUACCCCAAACCGACACAGGUGGUCAGGUAGAGAAUACCAAGGCGCUUGAGAGAACUCGGGUGAAGGAACUAGGCAAAAUGGUGCCGUAACUUCGGGAGAAGGCACGCUGAUAUGUAGGUGAAGCGACUUGCUCGUGGAGCUGAAAUCAGUCGAAGAUACCAGCUGGCUGCAACUGUUUAUUAAAAACACAGCACUGUGCAAACACGAAAGUGGACGUAUACGGUGUGACGCCUGCCCGGUGCCGGAAGGUUAAUUGAUGGGGUUAGCGGUAACGCGAAGCUCUUGAUCGAAGCCCCGGUAAACGGCGGCCGUAACUAUAACGGUCCUAAGGUAGCGAAAUUCCUUGUCGGGUAAGUUCCGACCUGCACGAAUGGCGUAAUGAUGGCCAGGCUGUCUCCACCCGAGACUCAGUGAAAUUGAACUCGCUGUGAAGAUGCAGUGUACCCGCGGCAAGACGGAAAGACCCCGUGAACCUUUACUAUAGCUUGACACUGAACAUUGAGCCUUGAUGUGUAGGAUAGGUGGGAGGCUUUGAAGUGUGGACGCCAGUCUGCAUGGAGCCGGCCUUGAAAUACCACCCUUUAAUGUUUGAUGUUCUAACGUUGGCCCCUGAUCGGGGUUGCGGACAGUGUCUGGUGGGUAGUUUGACUGGGGCGGUCUCCUCCUAAAGAGUAACGGAGGAGCACGAAGGUUGGCUAAUCCUGGUCGGACAUCAGGAGGUUAGUGCAAUGGCAUAAGCCAGCUUGACUGCGAGCGUGACGGCGCGAGCAGGUGCGAAAGCAGGUCAUAGUGAUCCGGUGGUUCUGAAUGGAAGGGCCAUCGCUCAACGGAUAAAAGGUACUCCGGGGAUAACAGGCUGAUACCGCCCAAGAGUUCAUAUCGACGGCGGUGUUUGGCA